rnacentral:rRNA from 1 species
GACGAACGCUGGCGGCGUGCUUAACACAUGCAAGUCGAACGGAAAGGCCCUUCGGGGUACUCGAGUGGCGAACGGGUGAGUAACACGUGGGUGAUCUGCCCUGCACUUUGGGAUAAGCCUGGGAAACUGGGUCUAAUACCGGAUAGGACCACGGUCUGCAUGGAUUGUGGUGGAAAGCUUUUGCGGUGUGGGAUGGGCCCGCGGCCUAUCAGCUUGUUGGUGGGGUGAUGGCCUACCAAGGCGACGACGGGUAGCCGGCCUGAGAGGGUGACCGGCCACACUGGGACUGAGAUACGGCCCAGACUCCUACGGGAGGCAGCAGUGGGGAAUAUUGCACAAUGGGCGCAAGCCUGAUGCAGCGACGCCGCGUGGGGGAUGACGGCCUUCGGGUUGUAAACCUCUUUCAGUAGGGACGAAGCGCAAGUGACGGUACCUAUAGAAGAAGCACCGGCCAACUACGUGCCAGCAGCCGCGGU